CAUAGGUUUGGUCCCAGCCUUCCUGUUAACUCUCAACAGACUUACACAUGCAAGCAUCCACGCCCCGGUGAGUAACGCCCUCCAAAUCAAUAAGACUAAGAGGAGCAGGUAUCAAGCACACAUCUUGUAGCUUACAACGCCUCGCUUAACCACACCCCUACGGGAGACAGCAGUGACAAAAAUUAAGCUAUAAACGAAAGUUUGACUAAGCCAUGUUGACCAGGGUUGGUAAAUCUCGUGCCAGCCACCGCGGUCAUACGAUUAACCCAAGCUAACAGGAAUACGGCGUAAAACGUGUUAAAGCACUACAUCAAAUAGAGUUAAAUUCUAAUUAAACUGUAAAAAGCCAUAAUUACAACAAAAAUAGAUGACGAAAGUAACCCUACUGCAGCUGAUACACUAUAGCUAAGACCCAAACUGGGAUUAGAUACCCCACUAUGCUUAGCCCUAAACACAAAUAAUUACAGAAACAAAAUUAUUCGCCAGAGUACUACCGGCAACAGCCCGAAACUCAAAGGACUUGGCGGUGCUUUAUACCCUUCUAGAGGAGCCUGUUCUAUAAUCGAUAA
rnacentral:rRNA from 1 species